rnacentral:misc_RNA from 1 species
GAUGAAAACGUAGCGAAAUGCGAUAAGUAAUGUGAAUUGCAGAAUUCAGUGAAUCAUCGAGUCUUUGAACGCACAUUGCGCCCCCUGGUAUUCCGGGGGGCAUGCCUGUCCGAGCGUCAUUGCCGCCCUCAAGCACGGCUUGUGUGUUGGGCCCCCGCCCCCCGGCUUCGGGGGGCGGGCCCGAAAGGCAGCGGCGGCACCGCGUCCGGUCCUCGAGCGUAUGGGGCUUCGUCACCCGCUCUGUAGGCCCGGCCGGCGCCCGCCGGCGACCCCAAUCAAUCUUUCCAGGUUGACCUCGGAUCAGGUAGGGAUACCCGCUGAACUUAAGCAUAUCAAUAAGCGGAGGA